rnacentral:tRNA from 1 species
GCGGUCAUAGUAUAGCCUGGUAGUACGCUGGCCUUCCAAGCCCGUUACCCGGGUUCAAAUCCCGGUGACCGCACCU